rnacentral:misc_RNA from 1 species
AGAUUAGUCAGUGAGGAUGGUUGAAUCAAUUGGUGCAAUAUCACUUUUAGGGAGGGUGCCAGUUUAUGGAGUUAAUUGUAGCAAAGAUGUGUCGAGUAAACGGAAGUCGAUUGAUGUAUGUCGAUUGCCUUCUGCUGAUUUUCUUGGCAGAAAGCUUGUUUGUGGUUCGAAUUUACUGAGAUUAAGAGGUGAUUGUGUGAGGUUUUCGUUGAUUAGAGGUCAGGCGAUGGAAUUGACCAAAGAGGCAUUUUCGUUCAGAGAGGACGAGAAAAUAUCUAAAGAUUUUCGUUAUAGGAUUGAGACUGAUGUGGAUAAAAAGCCAGGGAAAUGGCCACCAACGAAUAAAGCUGAUAAUCCAGCUCUUCAUAAUCCAUUGCUUAGACAAGAGAGGAUGGGCUGUGGAUGGUUAGCAGCUAUAUUUGAAUGGGAAGGUGUGUUAACUGAAGACAAUCCAGAUCUCGAGAAGCAGGCGUGGUUAGCUCUGUCUCAGGAAGAAGGAAAAUCACCUCCUCCGGGUUUUAUUUUGAAGAGAAUUGAAGGAAUGAAGAAUGAGCAAGCGAUAUCAGAAGUUCUAUGCUGGUCAAGAGAUCCUGUUCAAGUGAAGAGAAUGGCUACUCGGAAGGAAGAUAUUUAUCAAGCCCUGCAGGGGGGAAUAUAUAGCUUCCGACCUGGAUCACAGGAGUUCGUCAACACCCUGAUGCACUACAAAGUGCCAAUGGCUUUAGUGUCUACACGUCCAAGAAAAUAUGUCGAGAAUGCAAUUGGUACCAUUGGCUUUGAAGGGAUAUUUAGUGUAAUUGUAGCUGCAGAGGAUGUUCACAGAGGGAAGCCUGAUCCGGAGAUGUUUGUCUAUGCAUCACAGCUUCUACAAUUCAUACCAGAGAGGUGUAUUGUGUUUGGGAACUCAAACCAAACCGUCGAGGCUGCACAUGAUGCUCAGAUGAAGUGUGUUGCAGUUGCUAGCAAACAUCCAGUGUAUGAGCUUGGUGCUGCUGACUUGGUCGUGAGGCACCUUGAUGAGCUCUCGAUCGUUGACCUAAAGAACCUUGCUGCUGUUGAGCUGACUGAAUUUGGAUCUCCUGAACCAGAAUUGGAAAUGGAAGAAGAGGAUGAUCCUUAUCCUCCAUCUGCAGUGGCCGUCGAUGAUGGUUUCUGGUAACAUCUCCCCAAUGUACAGUAGUCGCGCUUAAUAAUAUUCAAAUAGGAUAUAGAAAAAUGUAAACUAAAAUGCAGGGCAAGAAGUGUAUCAGAAGGUGGUCUACAUUGGGCUGCCAUCAACCUGACUUUGUAUGUGAUAUUUGUAUUAUAUAUGUAUAUCUUCUGACCAUCGCGUCUUAAAAGGUUUGAACAUAAAUAACAUAGAA